CUGUGAGCUCGAUGAGUAGGGCGGGACACGUGGUAUCCUGUCUGAAUAUGGGGGGACCAUCCUCCAAGGCUAAAUACUCCUGACUGACCGAUAGUGAACCAGUACCGUGAGGGAAAGGCGAAAAGAACCCCGGCGAGGGGAGUGAAAAAGAACCUGAAACCGUGUACGUACAAGCAGUGGGAGCCUCUUAAUGGGGUGACUGCGUACCUUUUGUAUAAUGGGUCAGCGACUUAUAUUCUGUAGCAAGGUUAACCGAAUAGGGGAGCCGAAGGGAAACCGAGUCUUAACUGGGCGUUAAGUUGCAGGGUAUAGACCCGAAACCCGGUGAUCUAGCCAUGGGCAGGUUGAAGGUUGGGUAACACUAACUGGAGGACCGAACCGACUAAUGUUGAAAAAUUAGCGGAUGACUUGUGGCUGGGGGUGAAAGGCCAAUCAAACCGGGAGAUAGCUGGUUCUCCCCGAAAGCUAUUUAGGUAGCGCCUCGUGAAUUCAUCUCCGGGGGUAGAGCACUGUUUCGGCAAGGGGGUCAUCCCGACUUACCAACCCGAUGCAAACUGCGAAUACCGGAGAAUGUUAUCACGGGAGACACACGGCGGGUGCUAACGUCCGUCGUGAAGAGGGAAACAACCCAGACCGCCAGCUAAGGUCCCAAAGUCAUGGUUAAGUGGGAAACGAUGUGGGAAGGCCCAGACAGCCAGGAUGUUGGCUUAGAAGCAGCCAUCAUUUAAAGAAAGCGUAAUAGCUCACUGGUCGAGUCGGCCUGCGCGGAAGAUGUAACGGGGCUAAACCAUGCACCGAAGCUGCGGCAGCGACACUAUGUGUUGUUGGGUAGGGGAGCGUUCUGUAAGCCUGUGAAGGUGGCCUGUGAGGGUUGCUGGAGGUAUCAGAAGUGCGAAUGCUGACAUAAGUAACGAUAAAGCGGGUGAAAAGCCCGCUCGCCGGAAGACCAAGGGUUCCUGUCCAACGUUAAUCGGGGCAGGGUG
rnacentral:rRNA from 1 species